rnacentral:rRNA from 1 species
UUGCAAGGCUGUAUCAACUUCAGAAUGGCUGAUCUAGUCUGAUCUCUGAAGCUAAGCAGGGUUGGGUCUGGUUAGUGCCUGGAUGGGGGACACCAGGUGCCAGU